rnacentral:rRNA from 1 species
UGGGGAAUAUUGCACAAUGGGGGAAACCCUGAUGCAGCGACGCCGCGUGAGCGAUGAAGGAUUUCGGUAUGUAAAGCUCUAUCAGCAGGGAAGAAUUAGGACGGUACCUGACUAAGAAGCACCGGCUAAAUACGUGCCAGCAGCCGCGGUAAUACGUAUGGUGCAAGCGUUAUCCGGAUUUACUGGGUGUAAAGGGAGCGCAGACGUAGAGGCAAGUCUGAUGUGAAAGCCCGGGGCUCAACCCCGGGACUGCAUUGGAAACUGUUUUUCUAGAGUGUCGGAGGGGCAAGUGGAAUUCCUAGUGUAGCGGUGAAAUGCGUAGAUAUUAGGAGGAACACCAGUGGCGAAGGCGGCUUGCUGGACGAUGACUGACGUUGAGGCUCGAAAGCGUGGGGAGCAAACAGG